rnacentral:rRNA from 1 species
GACGAACGCUGGCGGCGUGCUUAACACAUGCAAGUCGAACGGUGAACGAGGGAGCUUGCUCCCUCCGGAUCAGUGGCGAACGGGUGAGUAACACGUGAGCAAUCUGCCCCGAACUCUGGGAUAAGCGUUGGAAACGACGUCUAAUACCGGAUACGACGCGGGAGGGCAUCCUCUCCGCGUGGAAAGAACUUCGGUUCGGGAUGAGCUCGCGGCCUAUCGGCUUGUUGGUGAGGUAACGGCUCACCAAGGCGACGACGGGUAGCCGGCCUGAGAGGGUGACCGGCCACACUGGGACUGAGACACGGCCCUGACUCCUACGGGAGGCAGCAGUGGGGAAUAUUGCACAAUGGGCGCAAGCCUGAUGCAGCAACGCCGCGUGAGGGACGACGGCCUUCGGGUUGUAAACCUCUUUUAGCAGGGAAGAAGCGAAAGUGACGGUACCUGCAGAAAAAGCACCGGCUAACUACGUG